AGCUUUAUAGUCAAUAAUGAUAUUAGACUGCAAUUCUAAAGGAGCAUUAUUUUAUGCUAAGGCUU
rnacentral:tRNA from 1 species